rnacentral:rRNA from 1 species
GACGAACCGUGCAAACGUUGUUCGGAAUCACUGGGCUUAAAGGGCGCGUAGGCGGGCCAGCCAGUCUGUGGUGAAAGCCUCUAGCUUAACUGGAGAAGUGCCGUGGAUACUGCUGGCCUCGAGGAGGAUAGGGGCAUCUGGAACGGUCGGUGGAGCGGUGAAAUGCGUUGAUAUCGACCGGAACUCCGGUGGCGAAGGCGAGGUGCUGGGUCAUUUCUGACGCUGAUGCGCGAAAGCCAGGGGAGCAAACGGG